rnacentral:rRNA from 1 species
CCUACGGGAGGCAGCAGUGGGGAAUCUUGCGCAAUGGGCGAAAGCCUGACGCAGCAACGCCGCGUGCGGGAAGAAGGCUCUCGGGUUGUAAACCGCUUUCAGCAGGAACGAAAAUGACGGUACUUGCAGAAGAAGGUGCGGCCAACUACGUGCCAGCAGCCGCGGUGACACGUAGGCACCAAGCGUUGUCCGGAUUUAUUGGGCGUAAAGAGCUCGUAGGCGGUUCGGUAAGUCAGGUGUGAAAACUUUGGGCUCAACCCAAAGCCUGCAUCUGAUACUGCUGUGACUAGAGUUCGGUAGGGGAGCGGGGAAUUCCUAGUGUAGCGGUGAAAUGCGCAGAUAUUAGGAGGAACACCGGUGGCGAAGGCGCCGCUCUGGGCCGAAACUGACGCUGAGGAGCGAAAGCGUGGGUAGCAAACAGGAUUAGAUACCCUGGUAGUCCACGCCGUAAACGUUGGGCACUAGGUGUGGGUCUCAACCAACGAGAUCCGCGCCGUCGCUAACGCAUUAAGUGCCCCGCCUGGGGAGUACGGCCGCAAGGUUAAACUCAAAGAAUUGACGG